rnacentral:lncRNA from 1 species
UUCAGAAUGUAUCAGGCUAGACUUGUACGUACUGCCAAGUGGCCCCAGCCUGGGUUAUAUUCCUUUCACUGAUCACGCUGAUAGAUGUUUCCCUGUUUCUCUGGGUUUGCACUGAUCUAUGAGGAUGCUUUGUAACCAAAGAACCCCCAGAGAUGAUCAAGGAGACAUUUUCUAGGUGCUGUACCAACACAGAGGAAUGCUGAGCAACUUCCGUAUUACUUUGGAGCUCCAGAGACACAAGUGAUGAGGAAGAGUGUUACACAGCGAUUUCUCAAGGACAUGGCAGUAGAGAGGAGGUCAGAUGAGUGGAUCAUAGACAGGUGUGGAGAUGGAGUGCAGAAGGAAAAAAUC